CUUCAUGGAAGUGCAUGCUCAUUUCUCUUUCCAGAUUUGGGAAGUUAUCUUUCAUCAUAUCUUUAAAUAAACUUUCUUCCUCUUUCUCUUUCUGAGCUACUUCUGGGACUCUCAUAAUGCAUACUUUGGUUCACUUGAUGGUGUCCCAUCAUCCCGUAUGCUUUCUUCAUCCUUUUCAUUCUUUUAUGUUUUUGUUCUUCUCCCUAGAUAAUUUCAAAAGCCCGUAAUUCUUUAGUGGUAAUAUACUUCCUUGAAUCUUGAUGUUCCUUGAAGCCUUCACGUUUGAAGAAACAGCCAACUCUUCCUGUCUUUAUUGAUCACCAUGAAGAGAGAAAGACCUGCACCAGUGAGCCUGGUUAGAGAUGCUGAAGGUUUCUCAGACCUUUACUAUGAAUGCAUUUGCUCCACUCCUCUUGUUUCCUCUUAUGGGGAAAUCUUAAUACUGUCUGCCUUCUCUUCAUCCUACAAAGCUGGGACUGGUGCCAAAAGCCUCUCAUUUAUUUUCCCUAGAGCUGCGCCCUGAAGUGUUUAAGGUUGUGUGCUUUCUCACAAACCAGUAGAUCAGGCUUUUAAGAUACAUAUUGGCUACUGAGAUCCAUGCACUGUCUGAGGGAGCUUGCACAGGCCAUGCACCAGGGACUCAUGGGGUACCAUCCAUGGCGGUGGUGGUGAAUGGGGUCCUAAGGGUGCACAACAGCUUGUUGGGAAUGUAUAUGGGUAAAUUGUAUUGCAGGAUUUGUGGGUGGAUCACUUGAUGGAGUCCAUGAACCAGUUAACUAUAUCUGUGGCUGGCUGUUGAAAACUGCAUGCCAGUUGCUGUGAGUGUUCACUUCUUCU
rnacentral:lncRNA from 10 species